AUGCUCCGCCGUCUCCUCUCUUCUCCAUCCACCUCAACCUCCACCUAUGCCAUCUUCCCACUCCGCCGUAUCCUCUCCGCCGCCGCGCCCCACAUUUCCCCAAAUCCCAGUGGCUUUGCCGUCGAGGAGUACCUCGUCGACACCUGCGGCCUCACCCGGCCCCAAGCCCUCAAGGCCUCCAAGAAGCUCUCCCACCUUAGGUCCCCCACCAAGCCCGACGCCGUCCUCGCCUUCCUCGCCGGCCUCGGCCUCUCCGGCGCCGAUGCCGCCGCCGUCGUCGUCAAAGACCCGAAGUUCCUCUGCGCCAAAGUGGACAAAACCCUGGCCCCCGUCGUCGCCGGGCUCGCCGGCCUCGGUCUCUCGCGUCCUGAGAUCGCCCGCCUAGUCUCGGUUGCCCACUGCUACUUCCGAACCAGGCCCAUCGUCUCCAAGACGCACUACUACCUGCCCCUCUUCGGCUCCUUGGACAACUUCCUCCGGGCGCUCCAGCGCUCGCCUUGCCUACUCUCGUCGGACCUCGGCAAGGUGAUCAAGCCCAAUGUCGUGUUCCUGCGGGAGUGCGGCCUAAGUGACUGCGAUAUUGUCAAGGUGUGUAUCCCUGUGCCGAGGAUGCUGACCACCGACCCAGAGCGCGUCCGCGCGAUGGUGGCAUGUGCUGAAAGAUUAGGCGUGCCUCGUGGCGCUGGGAUGUUCAGGCCAGCGCUACAGGCUGUCGCGUUUCUCAGCGAGGAGAAGAUUGCCGCCAAAGUGGACUACUUGAAGAAUACAUUCAGGUGGUCUGAUGCCCAAGUGAGCAUUGCUCUCUGUAAGGCUCCGUUUAUCCUGAAGAAGUCGAAGGAAUCUCUCAAGCGUAGGUCCGAGUUCCUCUUCUCUGAGGUGGGGUUGGAACCCGUGUACAUUGCUCAUCGGCCCAUAUUUCUCAGUCUUAGCCUGGAGGGCCGGGUCAGGCCCCGGUACUAUGUUCUCAAGUUCCUCAAGGAAAAUGGAUUGGUAGAUCGUGACCUGAGCUUCCAUACUGCAGUCAAUAGGCCUGAGAAGUUUUUCGUGGAGAAGUUCAUAUGCCCUCACAAGGAAGCCGCACCGCACCUCGCUGAAGACUAUGCAAUCGCUUGCAAAGGGGAAGUGCCAACUAAAACCAAAAAUGGGCCAAGGAAAUUGGUUACUGCGUAUGGCACAACAUAG
rnacentral:rRNA from 1 species